UUCAUAAAAUCUUUGCUCUCAUCUCUUUAUUGACAUCAACAACGAAUAAACAUUUUCAGAUUUUUUUUUUACUUGGAAAAUGAAAACCACAGAAAUAUUCAAUAAUGACUGAGAAGUUUUUCAUUUAGGAAAGAGUGUCUCUCUUUCUCUUUCUUCAGGUAAGGAAGUCUGCAACGUCACAGAUUGAGGUGCAUAGAUUCUGAGUUUAUAACCUUCAUUUUUAUUAUGUCCCUCAUGUAUUGUGUGACUCUUUUUCAAUUUGGUAUUUUUUGUUCUAUUCUAACUUUUUUCUCUUACUCAUUCUAGCUCAUUCUCAGAUACACUAGCUGGAUUUUACCUACUGUCCCGUACUAACUUUGCUUUGGAAUCAUGGAAAAUAAACAGUGUUCUAUUGAUGAUGAUCAUCCUCCUCCUUUGCGCAGACCUCUCCAAAGCAUCGAAAAUCUGCCUUCACAACAUGAGGUUCCGCAACAAAUGCAGCUCCCGCAACCCAUGCAGCUCCUACAAUCCAUGCAGCUCCAGCAACCCAUGCAGUUCCCUCAACCCUUGCAACGCGCGCAAUCCAUGCAGCUCCUUCGACAAGGGCAAGAGAGAAAAGUGAGCAGUUAAGCCAUCAUUUUCAUCUUGCAGCUGUUGCAGAAUUAUUUUAAUUAUUAUUCUUUGUUUUAUACUUUCGAAUAGAAAAAUUGUCUAAUUUUUUACAAUGUGUACAAUGGCCAAAGAAAUAAAUCAUUAUUUAAAAAAAAAAUUUAGUCUUUGUCAUGAUUUUCUUACUUUAAAACUCACACCGAGCCGUGAAGAAAGUGAUAUAGAAUACAGUGUUGUUUUGAAGUAAAAACCACAAAAACUCCAGCAACUUUUGAUAUUAAUGACAUCCCACAAUCUUUAGCCUCCUUCAAAAUUGGGUCUCAUUUCUGAGUACCUUCUACCCUUUGCAGGCUUUCAUAGUACCUAGCACAGAUUCUAGGAAAAGUUGAAAAAAGUUGUGAAUGUCACAUUCUCUUAAAAAGUAUGUAAGUCCGCUCACUUUUUCAUUUUCAUAUUAUUUUCAUACACUUUUAUACAGUUUUUAACAAUUUGUGCAUUCGAUAUUUUCUCUAAUUUUUCAUAAAGUAUUCACUACAUAUUUUAGGCAGCUGUAGGCAAAGUAGACAAUCAAGAAGUGGAUGUGUGAAUAAAAAUUUACCUACCAAGUCCUUACGAGUACCUACAUCUUAUACUGUUCAUGUCAAAAAUUCGAGAGUAUUGGCAGAUUCUGUUCACUUGAAUAAUAAUUUUAAUGUUCCAUAAUUAUUUUCCAUUUUAAUUGAUAAUUUUUAUCAAAAUUUUCACAAGUCUAUGGUACUAGGGAUGGAAAUUAUUAUUACUAAAGUUUUAUAAUUCUCUUCAUGGACUUAUUUAAGUACUAAAAAUAACAGAAAGAUAAAAGCAGAUUCCUGUAUACUCCCUCCGUAGCGUCUCUCCCAUUGGGUAGAAGAUUCAUAUUAAAAGCCAGGUUCUCCUUCAUUCUUACAUGAUGCAAUAAUGAUUACACGCAGGUCGGAAUAAUAAAAUCGCAUGGUCGUCCUGAAACCAGUGAGAGGGUAUUACCUAACUGCCUCCAACAAAUAUGCAAUAAUGAGGAUUCCACGAAAAUGAGGAUAUUUUUCGGCGCCGAAUUUGAAAACCUCUCAUGUCGCCGCUAAAAGUUGAAAGUUGGGCCUUUAA
rnacentral:lncRNA from 1 species